CUGUGCAUGUGUGUAUGUGUGUGUGUGUGUCUGUCUGUCUGUCUGUCUUUCUCAUACAGAGAGAGAGAGAUCAGAGAGAUCUUGCUUUAGCUCAGCAUGCCUCCUAGGCUGCGGCUGUACUGAUGAACCACAACCCACUGACCCGCUUCUUCCCUGGCCCCUGCUUUCCCACAGCAAAGCAAUCAAAACAACCCAAUUCGCUCUCCCUCUGACUCACUUUCAGUUCCUGCCGGCUGCAGAUUCCAGCACUGGGUUUGCCUCUUGCAUGGGAUUAGAAUAGAAGCAGCCCAGGAAUCUGCUUGGGUCCUGAGGACAGGCUCAUUCUGCAGCUUGACACAGGAAAGUCAGGUUGUCUAAUCGUCUAAUGGUGAGAUACCACACAGCUCUUUCUAGCAUCAAUAUUAAUUCAUUGAUACUUUUACAAGUGAAAACAAGAAUUAUCACCUUCAAUACCUAAAUACGAUGCCAACUGAAAAGAAUGAAGGAUGAGGUGCCAGCUAGAAAUGGGGGCGGAGUGCUAGGAGGUACGUGGAGUUAAAAUUCUCAGAACAACAAAGGAUUGCAGGUUGCGCCUCACUUUUUGAAUGGAAACAUGAAGAGCAGGGAUAUAGCUCCGUGUUAAAAUGCUUUCCUAGCACCCUCCAUUCCAUUCAUCCCUAUCAUCUCGGCAUCAGAUGAAAAUACAUAAGAUCUUACAUAGCUUACCCAAAGGCACAAAGCCACUCACUCCCUUCACUUUCUCUCCCUAGCCCUCCCCUCCUACCUCCCCUUCCUGCCCUUUCUUCUCUCCCAUUUCCUGAUAGCACAAGGAAUCAAUACAACUCGCAGCCCUUGCUCUGCUCUUCCGAAGUCAAGGAGACUCUUUGAUCCUCUUGUGUUACAACAGGUCCUGUGUAUAACCUUCAUACCCUGUCACAAGCGGCUUUAGUCAGUGACCAAAUGGUGGCUCCAUAGGAUAUCAUCACCAGUGAUGUAGCCAUAGUCCUCAUAGUCCUCUGCUGUGAUGCCCACAGAGCCACAAACUGCCAGACACUAUUUCUCAGAGCAUGUCAACACCAUUAAGGGACUCAUUGUGGCAGCUGUUUUGGACAUUCCUCCCAUGACAGGGGCUUGCUAUGCACUCAGAAGGUGGAAGCGGGAAGGUCAGGAGUUAAAGGCCGUCCUCAGCUACGUGGUGAGUUUAACUGCCUGGGCUGCACGAAACCCUGUCUCCGAGAAGCAAAACAAAAAUGCACUUGAAGGCGAUCUUUGUAUGUGAGUAGGAUAUCUGUGUGACUACAUAAGUGUAUAUCAUACCAACUUAUUUCCAGAUGGUUGCACUAGAAUGGCUUGGGACAAAAUAGAACUUUAAAGUUAAAACCAGAUUUGCAGGUCCAAGUCCAAACACUUUUCUAUUGGUGGGGGGGAAGGAUGAAAAUUGUUUAGAAUUACCAAGGACAUUUAGCCAGGUAUCACCAAAGGCCUGCAGGUCUGUGGCAUGGUUCCAGGUUAACUAUGCAGUGACCCCAGUAGUUGUAAUGGACAUUUUCCUUCUCUGAGGCUCUGAACUUCACUCCACACUACUCUCUCACCCCUUUAAAAGAAUCACACUUUACAACUGUGGGAAGUCCUGCUUAGGGUCAUGACAAACCAUGAUAAUCAUGGUAAUAAGAGUAGCCCAGAAGCAACCAAGACUCAUCUACUGUGACCCUGCCUCUUCUGGGCAGCUUCCUGCCCAGGACUUUGGGAUGAGCACAAUGAGGUCUGGAGGACCUCAGACAGACGUUCCUGCUCCUAACAGCACACCUCCCCUUUCCUGUGAGUCUCCAUGGAAUAGGCCUGGCUGGCAUAGAAGUCUCCUCAUUCCAAAGACCUUUUGGAAUGUGUCUCUUGAGUUACCUUAGGAACCACCUGAGAAAACCAAUCCCUUUCAAUUCUGAGACCACUUCUGUCCCCACAUGGAACACCAGCACCUGAGCACCCUUUGGCAGAUAGAAAGUUACCACCUAGAAAUGAGAGGCUAGCAUGGGUGGGUGCUGAUGGUGACAGCUACUGUCCCCCUUCUCAAACACAGUUCAUCAUAGCUGUCCCACAUCUGACACCUUCUUGGUCCUUUAACCUUUCUGAGACCCUUGAUGGGACAAUCCUGUAGAGAGCCAAAGCUAAAAGCCAUUUGAGUAUGACAGUGUCUGCAGAAUGCUAGUUACCCAGGGUUGACUUGGGAGGGGACAGUGAGAGGACAUAAGUUCAGACAGGCUUGUGGGGAAGGUUUGACUGGGAUUUAUUUCACAACCCAAGUGGAGACUGAUACCAUGUUUGGUGUCUGAGCCAGGGUCCUGCUCACCCAGGGAGCCUUCAGUGUGAGGUGUCCUUGGGAGCUCAAUCCUGUCUUUGCCUACAUAUGUAUACACGGAUAGCCAGGACUUGGAGGGCUCUGUAGCUUCCCCUGUGUUACCCCAGUAUGCCUCCCAAGCCUGAGGCAUAUUCCAGCUGGGAGGAGGUAUCAUGCCCCUGUUGCUGGUGGCUCUCACAGCGUGGGCUGUAAAUUACACAACCCAGAUGGCUGCCUGCCUGUCUCUCCUGCCUCUCGCCCAACAUCAGCACCCAGACUGCCCCUGGGGCACCUGCCUCUCCUGCUCUCAUCCCAGCCACCCAGACCCAGCAGUCCCCCAGUCUCACCCACUGCCAGAGCCAUGCAGAGAACUCUAGACUGGAGCCUAGCACAGCCAUGUUAAUGCUCUGGGCUAAUUAGCUUGUCAGAGUGGAGGCCUGUGGGCCCUGGAACCAGCCAGCCUGAGUCAAAUAUUGGCUCCACCACUUACUAAGUGCAUGAACUUGAGCAAGCCACUUGACCUUUGUUUCCUUCUCUGCAGAAUGGGAGUCCACAACCUGAUGGGGUCAUCAGAAGAGUUCAAUGAGUCAGGACAUGUCCAGUGCCAGUACCUGACACAUGUUACACCCAUCCCUUCUUGCUAUCUGUGGAGGCUAAUUCCACUUGCCCCAUCCCCAAAUCUACAGAUGCUUAAGUCCUCUA